GCGCUGGAAGCAGUGAUGGUGCUGCGCCUGGUGACCAGCCAGGAAAAGACGGUUCGAAUCCGAUCCCAGCGCUCCA
rnacentral:tRNA from 1 species